AAACAUCAACAUGUGAUAGACGCCAUGAUUUGAAAUAACCGUAAGCAUGAUGGUGGAACAUAUCCUUGAGAACCAUUUAUCUGAAAGCAAACUGUCUGGAUGAACGCCAUCAUAAAAAUGAUUGUAAAUAAACUUGGUUGAUUUCCCUAAUGUCAUGUUCAAGAGAAUUUUGCUGGAAGUUGGAG